GCUCAAUCUAGCCCGAGAGGUGCUUGCCGCUGGCAAGAGAAUAGGGAAUCAGGUGAAAGGCCUGAACGGUCCCGCCACUGUAAUUCCAUCAGUGCUGUUGCUGUUGAUGGAAGAGUCAGGAGACCUGCCUUUGGGGUUAAGACAUC
rnacentral:ncRNA from 1 species